AGGGCGGGGUCUGGGGCGGGGCCUGCCUGCAGAUUAUAACAGCAGGGUUCCGCGCGGGAAGGCUAACCUCGUCCAGGGUGCAGAGCAAUCCCAACGCAUCGGUCGGCCUUUCUCCGGUCUCCAAGGCUUCGGUCUUUCUUUUAAUCAAGAUGGGUGAUAAGCCAGAUUUGUCUGAAGUGGAGAAAUUUGACAGAUCAAAACUGAAGAAAACUAAUACUGAAGAAAAAAAUACUCUCCCCUCCAAGGAAACUAUCCAACAGGAGAAAGAGUGUGUUCAAACAUCGUAAAAUGGGAGUUUCCUCCAAGAACAAAUUUCAACAUUGCCUGGAUGUCUUGGUUUUAAGCUUAUUUUUUGUAAACCUAUGUGCUUGUAGAGAUUUUAGGCAUGGUCUGAAGUCUUUCCAUCCAGAAUCCCUGGCUAAGAGGUCAAGUGGUAGCUAAUGUUCUCUUAGUUUUGUUUCUAAACUUUCCAUUGGUACAUAAAUUCCAGCUGGCUGAUGCUGUCAAUAAUCUCACCAUUAAUGACCUGUGUGUGUGUAGUCCUCACAUCCCUAAGAGAUAAGCCGCUUUUAACUUCCUGCACUUGAUGUCUCCAUUGUUCCAUAAGCUUCAUGAUGUGGCAUGCAUUUGCCGAUGCUCACAGCUUAUUUUCACUUCUAAUGUAGUGAUAAAAUAAUAAAUAUAAUCAUUAUGUCG
rnacentral:lncRNA from 1 species